CUGAAAAUGGAAUUGAUGAGCUGGGAGAAAACAAUUGCUUUGGACCAAUGCCAUGUUCCAGAUAUGGGGAGCAAUGAGCUGAUGGUGGAGAGGCUGGAGACUGACUCCCCAACCCCACAAAACAAUUGGGGCUGAAGUGGACAGACGAAGUAACUGAAUCUUGAAAAUGGGCCGAAAUGAAACAUCCCGGACCUGAGCACCCAAGACAGUAGGGUGAAGUUGGAAAGCCCGGGAGCCCAUGCUGGAAC